GACGAACGCUGGCGGCGUGCCUAAUACAUGCAAGUCGAGCGAAGUUUUUCUGGUGCUUGCACUAGAAAAACUUAGCGGCGAACGGGUGAGUAACACGUAAAGAACCUGCCUCAUAGACUGGGACAACUAUUGGAAACGAUAGCUAAUACCGGAUAACAGUAUUUCUCGCAUGGGAGAUAUUUAAAAGUUGGUUAUGCUAACACUAUGAGAUGGCUUUGCGGUGCAUUAGCUAGUUGGUGGGGUAAAGGCCUACCAAGGCGACGAUGCAUAGCCGACCUGAGAGGGUGAUCGGCCACACUGGGACUGAGACACGGCCCAGACUCCUACGGGAGGCAGCAGUAGGGAAUCUUCCGCAAUGGGCGAAAGCCUGACGGAGCAACGCCGCGUGAGUGAAGAAGGAUUUCGGUUCGUAAAGCUCUGUUGUUAGGGAAGAAUGGAUAUGUAGUAACUAUA
rnacentral:rRNA from 1 species